rnacentral:tRNA from 1 species
GCGCCCGUAGCUCAAUGGAUAGAGUAACUGACUACGAAUCAGCAGGUUGGACGUUCGAAUCGUCUCGGGCGCGCCA